rnacentral:lncRNA from 1 species
ACUCCUUCAGUAUAUCUGGUUUCCUUGGUAACAUAACUAUGCACUAAAUGGUUUCCAUGGCAAAACAUGUUCCAGAGUCCAAAUAAGAAGCCUACACAUACAAUUUGGAAUUUACCUUAUUAGUGGAGAGGCUUUUUUACACUUGAAGAAAAUUAGUAAGCUUAAAAACAGGCUUGGUAAACAGAUACCCCUGGGGAGCCUAUUCAAGAGGGACCAUGUCAGACAGGAGACUGGGAAGGAGAAAGGCAAAUCUGGAACUGCCAACAUAAGCUCAUGUUAUAGGUUCCACACACAGCCCUCCAAGGCGAAAAAUCUCACCCUGAAAGUAACGGGCCAGCCAACCAGGUGAGGUGACAGGAGCCAUUGAUGGGACAUCUAAAACUGUACUGGACAUUUAGCAGACAAGGCAGCAGUAAUGAAAAGUAACAAAAUGAUGACGGCUAAAACCAAGAAACACACUUUCAAAUGACAGCACUUGGCUCUCCUCCCCACCUGCUAUCUCCCACCCUUACCCCCUCAUCCUCUGUUUCUCUUCAGAAAAGAGUUGGCCUCAAUGGUGUCAGACCCCUGGAACUGGAGUUACAGACAAUUAUGAGCUGCUGGGAAUUGAAGCACUUGGGAGACAGCCAAGAGGACUGAGAAAUCAAGAUCAGCCUGAGCUAUAUGGUGACACCCUAACGAAGAAGAAGAAGAAGAAGAAGAAGGAGGAGGAGGAGGAGGAGGAGGAGG